rnacentral:lncRNA from 1 species
UUGUUGGUGGUUCCUCGUUAUUUUCAGUGCACUUUUACAGAGAUUAGGCUGCAAAAGUUGCACCACCAUCAGUCUGAGAAGAAGACAAUAUCCCCCCAAGACCCACCAACUUUCCAUUUUUUUAUGCCCAAAAUGACCUGUCAUCAUGUGAUUUUGUUUCUAAUUAUUGUUGUUUCCCCAACCAACAGUACUCUCUAACCCCUCCACACAUGGGUUUCAUCAGGUUUUUCAGCUUAUUUAGAGAGAGAGAGAGAGAUGGAGAGUUUCAGCAGGAAACACAAGUGUAUAAAGAGAGAAGAAGGAGAACCUCCCAUGUAUGUAGAGAGAGAUAUACAGUUGCAGAAGGAAUCUCCCAUGGAGAGAGAGAGAGAGAGAGAGAGAGAGUGAUAG